UAACCUGCCCAAGAGAUCGGGAUAACACCUGGAAACAGAUGCUAAUACCGGAUAACAACAGAUGAUGCCUAUCAACUGUUUAAAAGAUGGUUCUGCUAUCACUCUUGGAUGGACCUGCGGUGCAUUAGCUAGUUGGUAGGGUAACGGCCUACCAAGGCGAUGAUGCAUAGCCGAGUUGAGAGACUGAUCGGCCACAUUGGGACUGAGACAGGCCCAAACUCCUACGGGAGGCAGCAGAC
rnacentral:rRNA from 1 species